UACGUAGGUGGCAAGCGUUAUCCGGAAUUAUUGGGCGUAAAGCGCGCGUAGGCGGUUUUUUAAGUCUGAUGUGAAAGCCCACGGCUCAACCGUGGAGGGUCAUUGGAAACUGGAAAACUUGAGUGCAGAAGAGGAAAGUGGAAUUCCAUGUGUAGCGGUGAAAUGCGCAGAGAUAUGGAGGAACACCAGUGGCGAAGGCGACUUUCUGGUCUGUAACUGACGCUGAUGUGCGAAAGCGUGGGGAUCAAACAGGAUUAGAUACCCUGGUAGUC
rnacentral:rRNA from 1 species